AGUAUAUAAAAGAAAACAUGUUCUUAGAAUGCUUGUGUUUAAACAAAAUAAAAAUUUAUGAAAUUUUGAGUGAACUCUUAAAUAAGCUGUUCCCGGUUAUACAGAAACCUGAAAUACCUCUCAAUUUGGUCUCUGAGGCUAGCAUACCCCAUAUUUUAAAAUAUUGUCCAUCAAAGAUAACUAUAGACAUAUCUUAGGAACAAAUGUAAGUAAGUCAUUGGAAGAACAUUAGCAAACUAAAUCCAAAAGAAUUGUCAUGACAAAGUAGGGUUUGCUCAAAGAACACAAUUAAUGUAACUCAGUACACUUGGAAAUCUGUUACUAUAACUUUUUACAUUAGAAAAAACACCAUGUGAUAAUCUUGAUAGAUGCUAGAAAAACAUUUUCUAAAAUUUAACAUUUCAGAUUUCAAUUUUGUCUGGCUAGGAAUAGAAACUUGGCUAAGGAUAUCUACCAAAAAUGUUCAGCAAAUGUCCACAUUCAAGUCAGAGCAAGCCUGUUGGCUAUACAACAGUCACUUAACCCAAAGAAAUAGAAAUAUUAGGGAGAGACAACACAGCCGUUAUUUUAGGCAGUAUGAUUGUGGAGGCAGUACAUUAGAGAGAAUCAAUUGGAAAACUAUUAGCUCUGAUAAGAGGUAUUUUUGUUUAAGAAUUUAACAUACAAAUUUGCAGCUUUCUAUAGACCGGUAUCAGACAAUUAGAAAUGUGAUUUAAAAAUUCCCAUUUGCAAUAAAAAUCUAUGUGCUCUCAGCAAUUCUUAGACACUUCCCGCCUGCCCCCACAUUUUACUAACUUGGGUUGGAAUGUAUUUUACCAUUGAUGGCACCUUACCAUUGCUGUUGGCCACGGGGUAUUUGUUGGGUAAAGAACUAUAUGCUUUCUAAGAGUGAGUGAGGAAAGCACAAAUACCUAUGGAAAAAAAACCCCCCUACAUUUUCAUGAAGGGUAUAAAACGCCUGAAUAAAUAGCUAAAAUAUCCUGUGUUCCUGUUUAUAAAAACUGUUUUGUCCAGACAUCAAUUACCUUAAAAUGAAUUUAUAAAUUCCAAUUCCAAUGGGAUUUUGUUACUUAGAAUUAAUGUUGGCUGUAAGAGCAAGUUAAAACUAACAAUAGCUUACAUAAGAUUGAAGUGUCUCAUAAAAAUUCAGGAGGGCAAUCUAGGGCUGGCGCCCUUCCAGGUAUCAGAAAGGGAUGCUCCUGGCUUCCAAACCUCUGAUCUCCAGUGAGCCUGUCUCUUCUGGUCAAUGGACAGGAAGAGAAUAACGGUCACACACCUUAACUUUGAGAACAGUUGCCCGAAAUUGUACCUACGUAUCUUAUGUUAAUCCCAUUGCUUAAAACACGAACACUCCUGCCAAGAAGGCUGGGAUUUGUAUUUAUUUCCGUGUUUCCAGCUAAAAAGCAGGGGUCCUAUGCAGUGGUUCUCAACCUGUGGGCCGCGACCCCUUUGGCGGUCGAAUGACCCUUUCACAGGGGUCGCCUAAGACCAUCCUGUAUAUCAUAUAUUUAUGCUACGAUUCAUAACAGUAGCAAAAUUACAGUUAUGAAGUAGCAACGAAAAUAAUUUUAUGGUUGGGGGUCACAAUAUGAGGAACUGUUUUAAAGGGCCAGAAGGUUGAGAACCACUGGAUUAAAGGAAAGGGGGAAAUGGAUAUGAGGCUACAAUUAGCCACAUAUGCCAUUCAAGUGACUCAGAAAUUCAUAUGCAAAGUAACCAAGAAAAACUAAAAAGAACAAUGAGGAAAAUUUGACUAUGUUUCUUACUAGAAACAAAACUAUAAUACUGUAUCAAAAAAUCAAUGAAACAAAGGAAAAUAAUAAUAUGUAGAUAUAUGGUAUAUGAUUAAGAUACAGUUUUAAAUGAUGGGUAAAGAAAUAGCCUGUGAAUGAAUUGGAGACAGAAUAGCCACACUGGGAGUACCUGCCCAUGUCACACUGUGCACAAAGAUACAUUUCAAGUGGAUUAAAGAGAACGGUUAAGAAAACCAAAGUACAUAAGUGCUAAAAUGUAGGAAAAUCAUAAUUUUGGGGUGCAGGUUUUCCUAAGCAAGAUAUAAACCCAAGGCGUGGCUCAGUAGUUGAACAUCAACCUAUGAAUCAGGAGGUCACGGUUUGAUUCCCGGUCAGGGCACAUGCCUGGGUUAUGGGCUCGGUUCCUGGUAGGGGGCGCACAGGAGGCAGCAGAUCAAUGAUUCUCUCCCAUCAUUGCUGUUUAUAUCUCCCUCUUCCUCUCUGAAAUCAAUAAAAAUAUAUUUUAAAAAAGAUAUAAUCCCCAAAAAUGAGACCUAAGGGAAAAUAGCGACACAUUUGGAACAUGAAACGACUGCAGGGUGAAAGACCCUGAGCAAAGUUGAGAGCGGAGGACACAUUUGCAAUAUGUAUAUAUGACACAAAAGAUUAAAUUAAUAAAGAACUUCAGCAUAUCAAUUAUUACAUUGAUAAAUAUUCAGAGAUUUAUAAUAGCCACUUUUGGUGAGGAAAAUAGGCCCUCUACCAGAUGGUGAAUGGCUGAACAAAUAGUUUCAUCUUAUUUGGAGGGCAAUUUGGAAGUAGCAAAAUUUAAAAUGCACAUACUAUCUGAUCUCUCCUAUAAACAACUAUUCAUUUGCCUGAAAUCACAAAUACCUGAAAUACACAUGAAUGCAAAGAUACUUUAUUUCAUCUAAUCUAAAAUGUAUUGAGGCUAAUGCUUUUUUACUAUUACCAGAAGUUGUCAAAAAAAGAUUUUUAAGCAACAAAUACCCCGUGGCCAACAGCAAUGCUUUCUGUAGCAGCUGGGGUAUGACAGCCUUGUCCCUGAUCUGUAAUUCCAGACAACUCCAGGGUGAACUGGCAGACUAAUCCAAAGCUACUACGUCAGAUAAAGUGAUGCUGUUUGCACAACUCAGUGUCCUCAAGAGAUAUUCAUGUAAUACCCCCGAUUUGUAUUCUGCAUGAAACUCCUUUUACAAGACAUAAACUUCCCAUAGGGAGCAAACGUAGCCAGCUAAAAGAUGCUGAACAUAAGACUGUGUAAUGUAAUUUUAAACUCAGAAGGAAUUGGCUAGGCCUUUUCCAUCUUAGAAGCCGAAAGCUAUAAAAGAACCCACGAUUUCUUUUUUAAGUAUAACAUUCUUAAUUUUGGGAUUCUAAUCAAGCCAUGUUCUAACUCUAAUCAAACAAUGCUCGUCAUAUGACGGAUUAAUAUAAAUAUUUGAAUUGUAUAUAUCAUGAGAUUUAAGUACUCACAUUUAUCACAAAAAACUAAUUGAUUUAUUAUUUCUACCUAAUUGACUUACAUUUGAAGCAGCUAAUUAAAUGAUUUCUGUUGUCACAUUAAUUGCAUUAGAGAAACUUUGACUAAAUGAUUUAUUUGUGUUUUAUUUGCAUGGUACUUGCUAAUUCUCCUCUCGUUCUCAAUCAGGGAUUCUCCAUCUUCGCCUGUUAAUAUUUGGGUUGGAGACUUGGUUGUGGGGGCCUCUCCUGUGCCUUAGAGGAUGUUCGGCAACAUCUGAGUUCUCUACGUAAUAGACUCCAGUGGCACACGCCGUCAUGACAGUCAUUGACGAAUGUCCCCUGGGAGGCAAAAUUCUGCCCAACUGAGAAUCAUCAGUCUAGAUAAAAGUAGUUGGGUGUGGGGUUUGAACUCUAAAUGUUCCGUUUGGAGAUGUUGGGAUUUUUUUUUAUUUUAAAGCCACCUUAGAUUCAGCAAUUCUAGGAAGCAUUCCUGGGUUUCCUUGACCCUCUCUUCCUCUACACACAAAUAAGCCAUGCUCUAGACCUUUCUCUCUUCACUCCGUGCUCUGGGCCUCGCUUUCCAGAAGGGAUAUUGUUUUCUUUGUUCCUUUCUCCAGCCAGCACAGUGCAUGGCACAAGGAAGAGGCUCAAAAAAAUGAGCUGGCUAGAAGAAUGACUGUUACCCAUUACUUUUCUCUGGGAAGUAUAUGUCUCUAAAUACAGACCUUUGUUUAAAAAUCA